rnacentral:rRNA from 1 species
CCCUUAGAUGUUCUGGGCCGCACGCGUGCUACACUGAGUGGAUCAGCGGGUCAGGUUGCGCGAAAGCGUUUCCUAAUCUUUAAAUCCGCUCGUGAUGGGGAUUGACGGUUGCAAUUUUCCGUCAUGAACGAGGAAUACCUUGUAAGCGCGGGUCAUCAUCCCGCGCUGAAUACGUCCCUGCCCUUUGUACACACCGCCCGUCGCUCCUACCGAUUGAGUGGUCCGGUGAGGCUUUGGGAUCUGAGCGGAAAGAGCGUUUCGCUGUUUCUGCCCGGAAAACUCAAUCGAACCUUAUCAUUUAGAGGAAGGAGAAGUCGUAACA